rnacentral:rRNA from 1 species
CGUGGAGACAGGUGGUGCAUGGCUGUCGUCAGCUCGUGUCGUGAGAUGUUGGGUUAAGUCCCGCAACGAGCGCAACCCUCACCUCUUGUUGCCACCAGGUCAUGCUGGGCACUCUAGAGGAACUGCCCCGGUCAACGGGGAGGAAGGCGGGGAUGACGUCAAGUCAUCAUGCCCCUUACGUCCUGGGCUACACACGUGCUACAAUGGCCGGUGCAAAGGGAUGCCACACCGCGAGGUAGAGCUAAACCCAAAAAGCCGGGUCUAAGUUCAGAUUGGAGUCUGCAACUCGACUCCAUGAAGGAGGAAUCGCUAGUAAUCGCGUAUCAGCACGACGCGGUGAAUACGUUCCCGGGCCUUGUACACACCGCCCGUCACACCACGAAAGCCCGCUGUACUCGAAGUCGCUGAG